UUUGACAAAUAAUAAAAGGUCUAGCCUGCCCAGUGACUCUGUUCAACGGCCGCGGUAUCCUAACCGUGCGAAGGUAGCGUAAUCACUUGUUCUUUAAAUGAGGACUAGUAUGAAUGGCAUCACGAGGGUUUUACUGUCUCCUCCCUCUAAUCAGUGAAACUAAUCUCCCCGUGAAGAAGCGGGGAUAAGCCUAUAAGACGAGAAGACCCUAUGGAGCUUUAAACACACAACAAUUGCCCUGCCCCCCCCCCAAAAAAUCUCCGGAUGAACCACCUACCCGGGCAUUUUGAUUACAAGUUUUAGGUUGGGGUGACCGCGGAGUAGAAAUUAACCUCCACAGCGAAUGGGACUUUUUCCCUAAACCCAGGGCUACGACCCUAAGAAUCAAUAAAUUGACACCCAUUGACCCA
rnacentral:rRNA from 1 species